CCUACCCCAAUCCCUCGUCGCCUCCAACCUCCAGAUCCGCCCGGCCGCCGCCCCUCCCCUUCCACCUGAGCGCCUCCCCAUCCCCAUCCGUGCUCAUCUCCACGCCUUUCCUACCGCAGCAUGCGCAUCCCACUUCUUCGCCCCCAGAUCUGUGGCAGGCUCCUUCAAAUCGGCUCUGAUCUACGCCAUCUGAUGUCUGCUCCGCCCUUCUGCAUGGCCUCCUCUGGAUGGCUUUUCGCCCAUCACCUGCUCCAACUCCAGUGUCGUCCCUCUCCACGGGUGCCGUCUCCCCCAAACCGCAAGUUUGCAAGUCGACCAUGGUCUGUUCAAUUUAUGUUCAAGUCCGAUGUGCAAUCUUGGAAUAGGAUUUAGUAUGAACGCAAUUUCUUUUCACUGUGCAUUAGUAGGUUCUGUUCCCAAACAUUGUUUUGACUUAUGUUGGGGUGCAUAAGGAGUUAGAUUUAUUUAGAUCUCUGUAAUGUUUCUGCCUGAAUGUUGUGGUUCUUGUCAUUAGAGUUCAUGCAAAUUCUCUGUAAUAUUUCUGCCUGAAUUUUAUGCAAAGCAAAUAUUUUCAUCCAGAGAAACAUUGAUUUUUCUAGAACUGAAAAUUUAAAAAGGUUCAACAGCCAUUCAUGUAUUUCUCAGAGCAUCUUGGAGGCUGCGGCGCUGCUGGUGCUGCUGCUCGUGUGAUGGGCCUAGUGGAGGCUACAAUUCCUUGAUUUCAAGGAGGAAAAGGAAACAUGAUUGGUUCUUGGAGAGAAAGUAGCCUCCAUGCUUCUUAAAUCUGGGUGCUGUUUUGUACAGAGGCUUUCAUCUAUGGAGAAGCACAUUGAUGGAGAAACAAACAUGCUCAAAGGCAAUCUUUUUCAGGUACAUACUCUGUAUUGAUUGAAGAAUACGGGCAAGGUUGUUGCAAACAUUUUUCCACACGCAUGGUUCACAUUCCAUGGUUUAAUUUGCAGAUUGAUAUUUCAUUCAUUUUGAUUUCUGCACAUAUUCACAUUUCCAUAUAUUGACAUGAUUAGAUGAUUGAGAUGACUGAGUCAUCAACUGUCCAACAGCUGAAAUGGAACUUCUAGGAGCCUAUCUCAGAUCUCAUCGCACCUAUUUCAGAGCUCAUUUCCUAGUUGCAGCUCAAUGAGUCCAUUUGGUGAAGGUUAAUUUGAAACAGAAGCUUACAGUCCAAGCUGUGAUUGAGUGACAUGAGGCCCUGUUUUUGCAUAUAGUUGAAGAACUUAUCUGUUAUUAGAUGUGCACUUCUAUUUCGGUGACCCUGAAUCGCUGUAUGCUAAUUAUAAAUGGAUUUGUGUACGAAAUAGACGUGAUUUAGUAGAACUAUGAUUAAUGUAAUGUAUUACUUGCGAAAUGGAUUAACUGUGAGAACUA